UGUACUGUACACAAAAUUAGCCUGGGUAACGGUAUUGUUCUCUUAUACGCUUGGUCGCAUAGACCCUGUAUCCCUGGAAGCAUAGAUGCUAUAUAAGAUGGUGUGUUGCUACAAUAAAGUUGAAGCUGCAUAUCCUCACAUUGAGUGUCAGGCUUCCUGCCCGCCUAGGAGGGUAGCAUCCUGUUGCAAGUCAUUCCUUUGCUAAAUACUUUUAACAGCCUCAGAGUGUCAGCACAGCCCUGGGAGUCCUGUGGAAUGAGCAGCUCCAGGUGCAGAUCCCAGAGAGCAUCAGCAAGUAGAUGGCAGAUCUGAGACACCAGUUUACCUCUUUUGGAUUCCAAGAGCAUGAAUAACACUGAGCUGCCACUGCUGAAAGACCACUGCUCCUGGGAAGAAUGAGGUCUUUUGGAGGAUCACAUCCAGUGACAGGCCUUUGCAGACUGGAAAGAAAUCAUGGAAGGGUGCAUCCCUUUAAGAAUAAGGUUGGCACUGCUAACAAUAUGAAAUCCACAUAGGGAAUCAGCACAUCAUGAACUCAUGGAAGAAGUUCUGCUGCAGGGAUUUAGUCAAAGUCAUGCUCCAAACUGGGAUAAAAUCAGCAUGAAUACAUUGGUCAUGGCCUGCUUAGUGCAUUGGUGGCUCCUAAAUGAGAAAAUGGAAACCAUAUCUUUCGUGGAACUGAUGCAGGAACAUUUGCCUGAAGGAGAUCCGUCUAUUAGCAUUUUCCACUCUAUCUCUGACAUCUAGUAGAUUGUGACAUUGCUUUCCAUGCCUAAAUGAAAGAGCAAGAUUUAAGUUUUCUCUUUUAAACAAGAAUGUAAAUAAGCAGACAACACAGCUUGGAGUCUCUGCACAUACAGAUAAUCCCAGGGCAGACCACACUAAUACCAGUAAGAAGAAAAUUCUGAUUUUUGCAAAAAAACUGAAUGAAGUCCUCUUAAUCUUCCAGGGGUAACUCUAGCACAAAAAUAUAUUUUUAACUGAGAUAUAAUCAUAUUCAAACCAACAAGAUCAAAUAUGUUUUGCUAUCAGAUUGGAAUAAAUAAAUUACAUUUCACAUAUUGAAAUCUUUGAUACUUCAGCAGUGCUUUUGUUUGAAAAUAUUUUCUCUCAUCCUGUGUGAUCACAAUAGCAAGUUAAAUUGCUGAAUUAUCAUUUUCCCACAAAAGGUGCCACUUUUCCUAAAAAAGCUUUAAUUAACUGCUUGAUCUAGUCACUCAUCCUCAUGUCCUCUGUAUUCAAAACUCUUAACCUAUUUGU